rnacentral:rRNA from 1 species
UCUGGUUGAUUCUGCUAGUAGUCAUAUGCUUGUUUCAAGGACUAAGCCAUGCAUGCCUCAGAAUAACUGCACUGCAGGAGUCUGCGCAUGGCUCAUUACAUCAGACGCAAUCUGCCGCAAAAAUGUUGCGGUUUCCGCAAAAUUGGAUACCUUGGCGAAACGCCAAGCUAAUACAUGAAUAUACAUGGGCGUUCUCCAUCCACGCGGCGUCGUUUCGGCGGCGUCGCAGCGAGUCGCCUUGCGAAUGAAUGAAAUUAAAACCAAUGCCUCGCAAGGGGCAGCAACACCAAGCAGUGUUGAAUCAAUUCAUUCCGUGCGAAAGCUGGUUUACCAGCGUCUUUUGAUGAACAACUGCCCUAUCAGCCAGUGAUGGCCGUGUAGUGGACUGCCAUGGCGUUGACGGGAGCGGGGGAUUAGGGUUCGAUUCCGGAGAGGGAGCCUGAGAAACGGCUACCACUUCUACGGAGGGCAGCAGGCGCGCAAAUUGCCCAAUGCCAAAAAAUGAUGAGGCAGCGAAAAGAAAUAGGUCUCCUAAACACCUCAACGGUGUUUGGGAGUUGCAAUGGGGGAUAUUUAAAGCCAUCCAACAUCGAGUAUCAAUUGGAGGACAAGUCUGGUGCCAGCACCCGCGGUAAUUCCAGCUCCAAGAGCGUAUAUUAACGCUGUUGCUGUUAAAGGGUUCGUAGUUGAAUUGAGGGCCGCCAAGGCAACGAUCAAGUCCCUUCCUCCGGAUCGGUGACCAUCGUUCUUGCGGUCAGAGAACAUCAGAAACAGAUACCACGGGAUCGUUACCUGCCGGAUUCGCAUGCAAUGUAUGCAGGCAGGCGUCCGUGUGUCUUACUGUGACUAAAAAAGCGCGACCAAAGCAGUCGUUCGACAUGAAUUUGAAAGCAUGGGAUAACAAAGGAGCAGCCUAUGGGCUACCGUUUCGGCUUUUGUUGGUUUUAAAGGUCUGUGGGAGAUUAUGGAUGCGCACGACAAGCGGUUAGGGGUUCGUCCCCACGCCUCCGUCGCGCGGGGCUUUCGGGUUCCGUCGGCGGCUUGCGUCGUCCAGGAAUGAAGGAGGGUUGUUCGGGGGAGAACGUACUUGAGCGUGAGAGGUGAAAUUCUUAGACCGCUCAAAGACGAACUACAGCGAAGGCAUUCUCCAAGGAUACCUUCCUCAAUCAAGAACCAAAGUGUGGAGAUCGAAGAUGAUUAGAGACCAUUGUAGUCCACACCACAAACGGUGACCCCCACGAAUUGGGGAGUAUUUGGGCGAGGUGGGCCAAGUUCGCUUGGUGCCAUCCCCCAAAAGAGAAUCAAAUUUACGUGCAUAUUCCAAACGGGCUUCGGCCCUCUAACGGGAAUAUCCUCAGCACGUUCUCUUUUUUUCACGCGAAAGCUCGAGGUUAUAGUCUCAGGGGGGAGUACGUUCGCAAGAGUGAAACUUAAGGAAAUUGACGGAAUGGCACCACAAGACGUGGAGCGCGCGGUUUAAUUUGACUCAACACGGGGAACUUUA